CUGGCCUGAUUGUGAACUGGUGCUCUUUUUCUACAGGAACAGAGGAAGAAGGAACCUCCGAAAGACUCUCCAGCUCCCCCACCAGAGAAGGAAAAGAAAAAAGAGGAUCCCUCUGUGUGGGAAAGAUUGUCCAAGCCAAAAAGGAGAUUUCAACCGAAGAUAGAAAUAGAAAAAAGACCACCGCAAACCGAAAAGAAUACAGAACACGCCCAUAUUGAACCCGUC